GCAGGACGGUGGCCAUGGAAGUCGGAAUCCGCUAAGGAGUGUGUAACAACUCACCUGCCGAAGCAACUAGCCCUGAAAAUGGAUGGCGCUGAAGCGUCGUGCCUAUACCCGGCCGCCGGCGGCAGACGGCGAGCGUUUCUCCUUUUGGGGGGGCGCUCGCUGCGAAGCCCCGGUGAGUAGGAGGGUCGCGACGGUGAGCGCAGAAGGGUCUGGGCGCAAGCCUGCCUGGAGCCGCCGUCGGUGCAGAUCUUGGGUGGUAGUAGCAAAUACUCCANGCGAGGGCCCUGGANGGGGCUGAUGUGGANGAAGGGGUUCCGUGUGAAACAGCCGUUGCACACGGGUCAGUCGAUCCUAAGCCCUAGGAGAAAUCCUAUGUUGAUGGUCGCGGGAUUUUUGUUUUCCUACACUGAAACCCCGUCCAUUGGGCGAAAGGGAAUCCGGUUCCUAUUCCGGAACCCGGUUGCGGAACCGCACUCACGAUCCUCGUAUUGACACGGUAACGUGAAAGACCCCAGAGAUGCCGUCUGGAGCCCCGGGAAGAGUUUUCUUUUCUGCCUGAGCGUUCGGGUUCCAUGGAAUCCUCUCAAAGGGAGAUAUGGAAUGGAGCGCGAAGAGCACCGCAGUUGCUGCGGUGUCCGGGGAGUCCCGUCGGGCCCUUGAAAAUCUGGGUGAGGGUCACGUGGAGGCGCCGCACCGGCUCGUACCCAUAUCCGCAGCAGGUCUCCAAGGUCAAGAGCCUCUAGUCRAUAGAAUAAUGUAAGGUAAGG
rnacentral:rRNA from 1 species